rnacentral:rRNA from 1 species
AAUAGAUACCCGGGUAGUCCACGCCGUAAACGAUGAAUACUAGGUGUAGGGGUUGUCAUGACCUCUGUGCCGCCGCAAACGCAUUAAGUAUUCCGCCUGGGGAGUACGGUCGCAAGAUUAAAACUCAAAGGAAUUGACGGGGGCCCGCACAAGCAGCGGAGCAUGUGGUUUAAUUCGAAGCAACGCGAAGAACCUUACCUAGACUUGACAUCUCCUGAAUUACUCUGUAAUGGAGGAAGCCCUUCGGGGCAGGAAGACAGGUGGUGCAUGGUUGUCGUCAGCUCGUGUCGUGAGAUGUUGGGUUAAGUCCCGCAACGAGCGCAACCCUUAUUGUUAGUUGCUACCAUUAAGUUGAGCACUCUAGCGAGACUGCCCGGGUUAACCGGGAGGAAGGUGGGGAUGACGUCAAAUCAUCAUGCCCCUUAUGUCUAGGGCUACACACGUGCUACAAUGGCUGGUACAGAGAGAUGCUAAACCGUGAGGUGGAGCCAAACUUUAAAACCAGUCUCAGUUCGGAUUGUAGGCUGAAACUCGCCUAC